UACAGAGGUGGCAAGCGUUGUUCGGAAUUACUGGGCGUAAAGCGCGCGUAGGCGGCCCCGUAAGUCCGCUGUGAAGGUCGGGGGCUCAACCCUCGAAUGCCGGUGGAUACUGUCGGGCUAGAGUGCGGAAGAGGCGAGUGGAAUUCCUGGUGUAGCGGUGAAAUGCGCAGAUAUCAGGAGGAACACCAAUUGCGAAGGCAGCUCGCUGGGACGUAACUGACGCUGAGACGCGAAAGCGUGGGGAGCAAACAGG
rnacentral:rRNA from 1 species